UCUUAUGUGCAUGCCUACAAUGUUAAUAUAUCAAAUCUCAUUAUAAAUAUGCAAUUAAGUGCAUUUGGGGUAGAUAAUUAAUGGGAUGGGUGACCUCCAGGGAAGUCCGAUUGUUUUAUAUGCC
rfam:Picea glauca, whole genome shotgun sequence.